rnacentral:snRNA from 1 species
UAUUCGUGGGUUCACUGCAUCACGUACAAAUCUUUCGCCUUUUACUAAAGAUUUCCGUCCAGAGGACCGCUAUGAUCGGAAUUUAACAAUUUAUUCUGCCGCGUCUUCAGAUGAGGC